GGAGGAGCGCCCGAAGUCGCUGUGCCAACCGCAAGGAGGCAGGCGACCACGGUAGGGUCAGCGACUGGGGUGAAGUCGUAACAAGGUAGCCGUAGGUGAACCUGCAGAAGGAUCA
rnacentral:rRNA from 1 species